rnacentral:lncRNA from 1 species
AAAAACAAAAUCAAGUAUUUUUUACAAAAUAACAAAUAUACAAAAAUUUUAUUGGCAGAACACAAACAUACCACCGAUGUGUAGGGCUGGCAAUCGGGCCUUGUGAGCCGAGCUUGGGUCGGCUCAAGCUCACAUAUCAUCGGGCCUCAUUACUAUAGGCUGAAGCUCACAUGUCAUCGGGCCUCAUUAGAAUAGGCUCAAGUUCGGCUCAUGUAUUUUUUCGGGUUUCGGAUUUAUAUCGGGCCCCAUUACUAUAUAAUUUUGUAAUGAGUAAAUUUGUUUUAUAAAAUAGGAAAAAUGAGUUUUUUAGUCCUGUAAGUUUGCUAGUUGAGAGUUUUAGUCCACCAUGUUUGAAAAUCAGAUUUUUAGUCCUGUGAGUUACAAAAGUUGAGAAUUUUGGUCCUAUGACCUGCUAUAACAGGUAAUGUGAUGGUUGGUUGUGUGAGUUGGCAU